ACGUAGGUGGCAAGCGUUGUCCGGAAUUAUUGGGCGUAAAGCGCGCGCAGGUGGUUAUAUAAGUCUGAUUUUAAAGUUCGGGGCUCAACCCCGUGAUGGAUUGGAAACUUUAUGACUUGAGUACAGUAGAGGUAAGUGGAAUUCCCAGUGUAGCGGUGAAAUGCGUAGAUAUUGGGAGGAACACCGAUGGCGAAGGCAGCUUACUGGGAUAUAACUGACGCUGAGGCGCGAAAGCUAGGGUAGCAAACAG
rnacentral:rRNA from 1 species